rnacentral:rRNA from 1 species
UCAGGAUGAACGCUGGCGGCGUGCCUAACACAUCAAGUCGAACGAACUGUAGAAAUACAGUGAGUAGCGGACGGGUGAGUAACGCGUAAGCAAUCUGCCUUUGUGUGUGGAAUAACAACCGGAAACAGUUGCUAAUACCGCAUAAUGCAGAGAGAUCGCAUGGUCUUUCUGCCAAAGAUUUAUCGCACGAAGAUGAGCUUGCGUCCGAUUAGAUAGUUGGCGGGGUAACGGCCCACCAAGUCGACGAUCGGUAGCCGGACUGAGAGGUUGAACGGCCACAUUGGAACUGAGAUACGGUCCAGACUCCUACGGGAGGCAGCAGUGGGGAAUAUUGGGCAAUGGACGAAAGUCUGAACCCCCAGCGACGCCGCGUGAGGGAAGAAGGUCUUCGGAUUGUAAACCUUAGUCAACAGGGACGAAGCAAGUGACGGUACCUGUGGAGGAAGCCACGGCUAACUACGUGCCAGCCGCUGC